UGCUAAUGAGUUGGUUAAAUUAUUUCUCAAAAUUUGGAAACAGAAUCCUUUGGAAUGUAGGCUUUUGACGUUUCAAAUUCAGAAAUAGAUCGUCAUAGAAUGACAUUAAUAAAUAACGGGAUGAAAAACUGUUGGCUGAUAAUGAUAAGAUCUGAACAAAAACCCAUAGUGACUACACAAAAACCACGAUGUCAUAGUAACUAAUUUAUUGAGAUAUCUAGCACAAAAAGGGAAAAUUUCCUAGACUCGUCCUCUUUCCACACUAAACACAAACUUUAUCUAUUCAUAUUUUCAUAAUGGUUUGAUAGAUU